UCCUUGGCUGAUCCUUAUCUCUUCAAGAUGGCAUUUUUUCUUCUCCAUCUCCUUCCUCCCAUGCCAUUUCCAUAUUUCCACCCCAUUUUCACUUGACUCCCAUGCAAUUGAAGAAAAAAGUAGAGAGAAUCAACUAAGGAAAGAAAUGAGAGAAUGAUGGAAGGCUUGGGUAGUAAGUGAUUCAAGAGUAAUUGAAGAAAUAUCAAGUGGGUCUCAAGAUUCAAGAAACAUAAGGUUUUCUGAGUUAAAGAUGACUUGUCCUAGGACGAGGUGCUCCUCCCUAUCCAUUGUGCGAUAGGUUUACCAUGACACUAAAUGUUAGCAACUGUGCCCAGAGUCACUCCGUUAACGGUCAAGGUCUAAUUAUGUGUAUAUGAAUGCUUGAUGUGAAAUGCUAAUACUCAUUUGUCAA